rnacentral:rRNA from 1 species
GUUUGAUCCUGGCUCAGAUUGAACGCUGGCGGCAUGCCUUACACAUGCAAGUCGAACGGCAGCGCGUCCUUCGGGAUGGCGGCGAGUGGCGAACGGGUGAGUAAAGCAUCGGAACGUGCCCGGUAGUGCGGGAUAGCUCGGCGAAAGCCGGAUUAAUACCGCAUGAGAUCCGUGGAUGAAAGCAGGGGACCUGAAAGGGCCUUGCGCUACUGGAGCGGCCGAUGUCAGAUUAGGUAGUUGGUGAGGUAAAGGCUCACCAAGCCUGCGAUCUGUAGCUGGUCUGAGAGGAUGAUCAGCCACAUCGGGACUGAGACACGGCCCGAACUCCUACGGGAGGCAGCAGUGGGGAAUUUUGGACAAUGGGCGCAAGCCUGAUCCAGCCAUGCCGCGUGCAGGAUGAAGGCCCUCGGGUUGUAAACUGCUUUUGUACGGAACGAAAAGCCUCUCUCGAAUAAAGAGGGGUGAUGACGGUACCGUAAGAAUAAGCACCGGCUAACUACGUGCCAGCAGCCGCGGUAAUACGUAGGGUGCGAGCGUUAAUCGGAAUUACUGGGCGUAAAGCGUGCGCAGGCGGUCUUGCAAGACAGUGGUGAAAUCCCCGGGCUCAACCUGGGAACGGCCAUUGUGACUGCAAGGCUGGAGUACGGCAGAGGGGGGUGGAAUUCCGCGUGUAGCAGUGAAAUGCGUAGAUAUGCGGAGGAACACCGAUGGCGAAGGCAGCCCCCUGGGCCUGUACUACGCUCUGCACAAAGCGACC